rnacentral:rRNA from 1 species
ACCCGCACAAGCGGUGGAUGAUGUGGUUUAAUUCGAUGCAACGCGAAAACCUUACCCACCUUUGACAUGUACGGAACCCUUUAGAGAUAGAGGGGUGCUCGAAAGAGAGCCGUAACACAGGUGCUGCAUGGCUGUCGUCAGCUCGUGUCGUGAGAUGUUGGGUUAAGUCCCGCAACGAGCGCAACCCUUGUCAUUAGUUGCUACAUUCAGUUGGGCACUCUAAAUGAGACUGCCGGUGACAAGCCGGAGGAAGGUGGGGAUGACGUCAAGUCCUCGUGGCCCUUAUAGGUGGGGCUACACACGUCAUACAAUGGCUGGUACAAAGGGUUGCCAACCCGCGAGGGGGAGCCAAUCCCAUAAAGCCAGUCGUAGUCCGGAUCGUAGUCUGCAACUCGACUACGUGAAGUCGGAAUCGCUAGUAAUCGUGGAUCAGCAUGCUGCGGUGAAUACGUUCCCGGGUCUU